rnacentral:rRNA from 1 species
UACAGAGGUCUCAAGCGUUGUUCGGAUUCAUUGGGCGUAAAGGGUGCGUAGGCGGCGCGGUAAGUCGGGUGUGAAAUCUCGGGGCUUAACUCCGAAACUGCAUUCGAUACUGCCGUGCUGGAGGCAGGUAGGGGAGAGUGGAAUUCCUGGUGUAGCGGUGAAAUGCGCAGAUAUCAGGAGGAACACCGGUGGCGAAGGCGGCUCUCUGGACCUGUCCUGACGCUCAGGCGCGAAAGCUAGGGGAGCAAACAGG